rnacentral:rRNA from 1 species
GGGCCCGCACAAGCGGUGGAGCAUGUGGUUCAAUUCGACGCAACGCGAAGAACCUUACCUGGGUUAAAUCCACUCGAACACUGCAGAGAUGUGGUGGUGCCCUUCGGGGAGCGAGUGAGAAGGUGCUGCAUGGCUGUCGUCAGCUCGUGUCGUGAGAUGUUGGGUUAAGUCCCGCAACGAGCGCAACCCUUGUCAUUAGUUGGCAUCAGUUUCGGCUGGCCACUCUAACGAGACUGCCGGCGUUAAGCCGGAGGAAGGUGGGGAUGACGUCAAGUCCUCAUGGCCCUUAUGCCCAGGGCUACACACGUGCUACAAUGGCCGGUACAAAGGGCUGCUAACCCGCGAGGGGGAGCCAAUCCCAAAAAACCGGUCUCAGUUCGGAUUGGAGUCUGCAACUCGACUCCAUGAAGUCGGAAUCGCUAGUAAUCCCUGAUCAGCAGGCAGGGGUGAAUACGUUCCCGGGCCUU